rnacentral:rRNA from 1 species
UACGUAGGGGGCGAGCGUUGUCCGGAUUUAUUGGGCGUAAAGAGCUCGUAGGCGGUGUGUCGCGUCGGCCGUGAAAACCUGCAGCUUAACUGUGGGCUUGCGGUCGAUACGGGCAUCACUGGAGUUCGGCAGGGAGACUGGAAUUCCUGGUGUAGCGGUGAAAUGCGCAGAUAUCAGGAGGAACACCGGUGGCGAAGGCGGGUCUCUGGGCCGAUACUGACGCUGAGGAGCGAAAGCGUGGGGAGCAAACAGG